GGGGGGGGAGAGGGGAGCUCGGCUUGGUUCAUGGUGCGAGGGCGCGGGUGCGAGGAUUCGGGGUCUGGGUUCGAGGAUUCGUGCGCCGGGUUCGAGGAUUUGAAGGUUUCUGGUUCUGGGUUCGAGGAUUCGAAGGAUUCUGGUUCUGGGUUCAAGGAUUCUGGUUCUGGGUUCGAGGAUUCAGAGUUGCCUGGGUUCUGGGUUCGAGGGUUUGGAGAGUUCUGGGUUCGAGGAGACGAAGGAUUCUGGUUCUGGGUUCGAGGAGACGAAGGAUUCUGGCGCCGGGUUCGAGGAUUAGUGCGCCGGGUGCGAGGAUUCUGGGUCUGGGUUCGAGGAGACGAAGGAUUCUGGCGCCGGGUUCAAGGAUUAGUGCGCCGGGUUCGAGGAUUUGAAGGUUUUUGGUUCUGGGUUCGAGGAUACGAAGGAUUCUGGCUCUGGGUUCGAGGAUUCAAAGGAUUCUGGUUCUGGGUUCGAGGAGACGAAGGAUUCUGGCUCUGGGUUCGAGGAUUAGUGCGCCGGGUUCAAGGAUUUGAAGGUUUCUGGUUCUGGGUUCGAGGAGACGAAGGAUUCCGGCUCUGGGUUCGAGGAUACGAAGGAUUCUGGCUCUGAGUUCGAAGAUCAGUGCGCCGGGUUCGAGGAUUCGAAGCCUUCUGGGUUCUGGCGCUGGGUUCGAGGAUUCGAAGGAUUCUGGCUCUGGGUUCGAGGAGACGAAGGAUUCCGGCUCUGGGUUCGAGGAGACGAAGGAUUCUGGCUCUGGGUUCGAGGAUCCGUGCGCCGGGUUCGAGGAUUCGGAGCCUUCUGGGUUCUGGCGCCGGGUGCGAGGAUGCUGCGUCUGGGUUCGAGGAGACGAAGGAUUCUGGGUUCUGGGUUCAAGGAUUAGUGCGCCGGGUUCGAGGAUUUGGAGAAUUCUGGUGCCGGGUUCGAGGAUUCGAUGGUUUCUGGUUCUGGGUUUGAGGAUUCGAAGCCUUCUGGGUUCUGGCGCCGGGUGCGAGGAAUUAAAGGUUUCUGGGUUCAAGGAUACGAAGGAUUCCGGCUCUGGGUUCGAGGAUUUGGAGAAUUCUGGAUUAGUGUGCCGGGUUCGAGGAUUCGAAGGAUUCUGGUUCUGGGUUCGAGGAUUUGGAGGAUUCUGGAUUAGUGCGCCGGGUUUGAGGAUUCGAAGCUUUCUGGUUCUGGGUUCGAGGAUUCGAAAGAUUCUGGCUCUGGGUUCGAGGAUUUGGUGAAUUCUGGAUUAGUGCGCCGGGUUCGAGGAUUCGAAGCCUUCUGGGUUCUGGCGCCGGGUUCGAGGAUUUGAAGGUUUCUGGUUCUGGGUUGGAGGAUUUGAAGGUUUCUGGUUCUGGGUUCGAGGAUUCAGAGCCGCCUGGGUUCUGGCUCUGGGUUCGAGGGUUUGGGUUAGGGACCUCAGAGAUGGAGUGAGGAGGUUAAGGACCCGCCAGCCAAUGGGGUGAGGAGGUUAAGGACCCCCCAAGGGUCUAAGUUGAGGGUUCAAGGAAUCGAAGGAUUCUGGGUUCUGGCGCCGGGUUCGAGGGUUUGGGUUAGGGACCUCAGAGAUGGAGUGAGGAGGUUAAGGACCCGCCAGCCAAUGGGAUAAAGAGGUUAGGGAGCUGCCAGCCAAUGGGGUGAGGAGGUUAAGGACCCCCAAGGGGGAGUUAAGGCCGAGGUUAGAGCCCCUUCUGGGGGGUGCUAGCCCAGCCCGGGUUCAAGAGGAGGGGUUAAGGACCUCCCCCAAGGGGUUAAGGAGGCUCUGAAGGGGAGGGUUAAAGACCCCAC